rnacentral:rRNA from 1 species
GACUACCCGCUGAACUUAAGCAUAUCAAUAAGCGGAGGAAAAGAAACCAACAGGGAUUGCCUCAGUAACGGCGAGUGAAGCGGCAAAAGCUCAAAUUUGAAAUCCUUCGGGAGUUGUAAUUUGAAGGUGAGAUGGCGACUUCAAGUCUGGCUAAAGUCCCUUGGAACAGGGCGCCUUAGAGGGUGAGAGCCCCGUACAACCAGUUCUUGAAGUCAUAUGCUUUCUCUCCAACGAGUCGAGUUGUUUGGGAAUGCAGCUCAAAGUGGGUGGUAAAUUCCAUCUAAAGCUAAAUACCGGCGAGAGACCGAUAGCGAACAAGUACCGUGAGGGAAAGAUGAAAAGCACUUUGAAAAGAGAGUGAAACAGUACGUGAAAUUGUUGAAAGGGAAGGGCUUGCAAGCAGACACAACCCUCGUGGUUGGGCCAGCAUCGGUUGCUAGGGGUGGAUAAGGCGGCGGGAAUGUAGCUUCCUCGGAAGUAUUAUAUCCCGCUGAGAUACACCCACCGGCGACCGAGGCCUGCGAUUCUAAAUCAAGGAUGCUGGCGUAAUGGUUGCAAGCCGCCCGUCUUGAAACACGGACC